ensembl:lncRNA
GGAAGGCUAUCAACGCCGUAGCAAACAACCCGGAGCUGUACGACACCAGCUGCUUUGUGUACCGAGACAGGAAUAUAAAGGACCGAGCUCGGAGGAAGAAACGUGAAGAGAUCGGGCAACCUGAACCAACUGAUUCUGCAGCAGAGCAUCCCCUGUUGCUUCUCCUUGCUCCCCAGUCCCUGAGCUCCUGCUGCUGCACCCACAGGCCCAGAGAGGAGGACAGCUCUGAGGCAGAUGAGGGACGUGUCCCAGGACGGUCCAUCGGCGGUGGAGCUGGCCAUCCUGGUGUCCCUGAAGAGGCCACGCCAGUCUCCAAUGGCGCAUUUCCUCCUCAGCCUUGUUCCUGCUCUGGAGAGCAGCUGGGUCCUUUUUAUUCCAGUCUCUCUUUAAAUACUUAUAUUUUAUAUAUUUAUGUUUAAUGUUUUUCUGUUUGAGAAUUUUAAUAUUAUUUCAAAUAAAUUUUUAUAAUGACUUUUACUGCCUUACUUUCAGUUAAUGUAUUUUCUUUUGCAUUAUGCACAUUUUAUAUGCCAUUAGGUCAUUUAUUGUAACAAUUCUCAAGUAGGAACUAUUGUGCUACAUGUUGGUUCCACUGGUGCACCUGAGGGAGAUGCACACCCAUGUUGAUGUGAGCAUGGCAAAUCGAAGCGAGAGAAGCUAAUUUAAGUCAGAGUAGUUCGUCUCUUAAAGUAUCUGUAAAGCGCUCAUUUCUGCCUCAAGGCAUGGGUCAGCCAGCGAGGUAUGUUUAUAUGUCAUAUAGAUCAUUUUAUGUCUUUAUUUCACUCGUCUUACUAUUUCAUCGAAUUGUAUGUUAUGUUUUAGUUCGACGGUGGCGUAGUUGUGAUUAAGGUGAAGCUGUAACAACCCCAAGACCUUACAACGAACAUUAAAGACAACUUCAUG